GUGUAAAUCUAUUGUUGCUAGUCUUAUUGAGUUAUUAGAACUUACCCCCUAAUCCAAUUAUCCAUAUUAUAAUGAAGAUCAGACAACAACAAGCACUUUUGAUAAGAGCAUCCAAUACAUGGCCAUGACAAAACUUGAACAAAUGACAACUAGUUAGAGAGCCUUGUGGUCAACCACCUCUAGGCCCAAAGCUUCUACAGAUGCUACC
rnacentral:lncRNA from 1 species